rnacentral:rRNA from 1 species
CGCCUUGCCAGCCCGCUCAGAACUCAAAGGAAUUGACGGGGCCCGCACAAGCGGUGGAGUAUGUGGUUUAAUUCGAUGCAACGCGAAGAACCUUACCUGGUCUUGACAUCCCGGAGACCCUUAGGAAACUAGGGGGUGCUUCCAUCUGGAAGAAUCUGGAGACAGGUGCUGCAUGGCUGUCGUCAGCUCGUGUCGUGAGAUGUUGGGUUAAGUCCCGCAACGAGCGCAACCCUUGCCUUUAGUUGCCAGCAGUUCGGCUGGGCACUCUAAAGGGACUGCCGGUGUUAAACCGGAGGAAGGUGGGGAUGACGUCAAGUCCUCAUGGCCUUUAUGACCAGGGCUACACACGUACUACAAUGGCCGAUACAAAGGGCAGCGACACUGCGAGGUGAAGCCAAUCCCGUAAAAUCGGUCUCAGUCCGGAUUGGAGUCUGCAACUCGACUCCAUGAAGUUGGAAUCGCUAGUAAUCGUGGAUCAGCAUGCCACGGUGAAUACGUUCCCGGGCCUU